rnacentral:rRNA from 1 species
GACGAACGCUGGCGGCGUGCCUAAUACAUGCAAGUAGAACGCUGAAGGAGGAGCUUGCUUCUCUGGAUGAGUUGCGAACGGGUGAGUAACGCGUAGGUAACCUGCCUGGUAGCGGGGGAUAACUAUUGGAAACGAUAGCUAAUACCGCAUAAUAGUAGAUGUUGCAUGACAUUUGCUUAAAAGGUGCAAUUGCAUCACUACCAGAUGGACCUGCGUUGUAUUAGCUAGUUGGUGAGGUAACGGCUCACCAAGGCGACGAUACAUAGCCGACCUGAGAGGGUGAUCGGCCACACUGGGACUGCGACACGGCCCAGACUCCUACGGGAGGCAGCAGUAGUGAAUCUUCGGCAAUGGACGGAAGUCUGACCGAGCAACGCCGCGUGAGUGAAGGAGGUUUUCGGAUCGUAAAGCUCUGUUGUAAGAGAAGAACGAGUGUGAGAGUGGAAAGUUCACACUGUGACGGUAUCUUACCAGAAAGGGACGGCUAACUACGUG